AUUGAACGCUGGCGGCAGGCCUAACACAUGCAAGUCGAGCGAGCGGCGGACGGGUGAGUAAUGUCUGGGAAACUGCCUGAUGGAGGGGGAUAACUACUGGAAACGGUAGCUAAUACCGCAUACCAUCAGAUGUGCCCAUAUGGGAUUAGCUAGUAGGUGGGGUAAUGGCUCACCUAGGCGACGAUCCCUAGCUGGUCUGAGAGGAUGACCAGCCACACUGGCACUGAGACACGGGCCGUACGCCUAAGAGAGGGAGCUGUGGGGAAUAUGGCACAAUGGGCCGCAGACUGGUGCAGCCAGGCCGCGUGUGUGAAUAAGGCCUUCGGGUUGUAAAGCACUUGCAGCGGGGAGGCGUUACCCGCAGAAGAAGCACCGGCUAACUCCGUGCCAGCAGCCGCGGUAAUAC
rnacentral:rRNA from 1 species